UACGAGUGCCCCAAGCGUUAUCCGGAAUUAUUGGGCGUAAAGGGUGUGUAGGUGGUUUUGUUAGUCUUCUGUUAAAUUCUUCGGCUUAACCGGGGGUUUGCAAAAGAAACGGCAAAACUAGAGGAUGCGAGAGGUGUGCGGAACUCAUGGUGUAGGGGUGAAAUCCGUUGAUAUCAUGGGGAACACCGAAAGCGAAGGCAGCACACUGGCGCACUCCUGACACUGAAACACGAAAGCGUGGGGAGCAAACAGG
rnacentral:rRNA from 1 species